rnacentral:rRNA from 1 species
UACAGAGGUCUCAAGCGUUGUUCGGAUUCAUUGGGCGUAAAGGGUGCGUAGGCGGCUUGGCAAGUCGGAUGUGAAAUCCCUCGGCUCAACCAAGGAAGUGCAUCCGAAACUGCUGAGCUUGAGUACUUAAGAGGAUCGCGGAAUUCCCGGUGUAGAGGUGAAAUUCGUAGAUAUUCGCAAGAACACCAGUGGCGAAGGCGGCUCACUGGCCCGAUACUGACGCUGAGGCACGAAAGCGUGGGGAGCAAACAGG